UCAGUCCAUGCCCUUAACUCCGUCCGCCUUCUCUGAACUCCUUGGGAAUGCAUCGGUCGUGAGAUCAGCCUGGGCUCUGCUGAGAGAGGCCCACAGUAUCGGGCCUCUCAGUGAAUCUUCCACCACGAUUCGAUGGGACCCAGGGUUUUUCAACACCGCAACACAGAAGGCUACCUGGCUGGAGGGGUUUGCUUUUUCACAUUUAGAUCUUUGAAUCACAGAUAACACAGAUAAUCACAGUAAUGGAAGAAAUCAAAGUAACUAAACACCACUCUGGAAAGGACAGAGACAACAGACCGAGUAGCUCAACUGCUACCGUGAGCAUGUGUGUAUACAGGGCUUCCGAAAUCAUUGAAGUGUCAAAACCUGAAUCCACCAGAAUGUGUCCAUGGAACUGAAAACUAUCAGAUAUUUAGACAGGGUGCGUUAAAGGGCUCACCGUGCGUCCGUUUUAUGCCGUAAUUAUGUGCACAAAUAAUUGCAUGGCCGGCGUCGCGUGAGACGCGGGAAGGACCGGGGAGCGGCAGAACCAGGGCUUCCAAUUCCCGUCCGCGUUUAAAGCGCGCCAGCGCCCUCUGGUGCUCAGGCUGCGCAGCGCGCCGGCUCCGCGGGUGCCGCCAAGGGCCGGGGCUGCCUGGGGGCCUGCCCGGGGUUCCAGACCUGCUGGACCGUGCAUGGCUCAUCAGGCCGGGCCUGUCCAGGGGUUUGAGAACCGCAGACCUGCAGGACUGUGCAUGGCUCAUUAGGCCGGGUCUGUCCAGGGGGUCCAGACCUGCAGGACCGUGCAUGGCUCAUCAGGCCGGGCCUGUCCAGGGGUUCCAGACCCGCGGGGACCUUGGCUCCAUCAGGCGGGAACCGCCCCGCGGGAUUCUGAAAGGAUGAAUGCAUUUUCCUCUUUCUAGCAUGGAAGGAUUGUUAAUUAUUUCUUCGUAGUUUUCUGUGCUUCCCUUUCUCCUUUUUGCCUCACCUGCUCUUUCCUCCUGAAUCCUGAGUGAUUUGGGUAAAGCCAAUGGUCGGAUUACCUGGGAAGAAGCUGGGAAGCCAAAUGUAUGAAGAGCGGGGCUUCAGAUAGGGGCCACGGAGAGCCCAGGCCCAGGAGGCCUGCAGAGCCUGGGAGGAGGGAGGCUCACCCAGCCCGGGGCCUGGCCCCAUGGGGGUCCUGCUGCAGAGGAGGAGGGAGGCUCACCCAGCGCUGGGCCUGGCCCCUGGUGGUCCUCCUGCAGAUGUAGCCGUGAGGGCUGCUGACCCCCUCCAACUUCACCGCCUCUCCUGAAUCCCAGGCCAUCCCAGCCUCGUCUGGCGGUGUGAAGAGUGGAUCUGAAUUCCAAAGAUCUGGGUCUUGCUCUGACUUUCCCCAUUUGCUGCAGUUUGAGGAAGUAACGAAUUAUUUUGGAAUCUUCAUGUGUGUACAUUUUAAUUUUUAAAAUAAGGGUAAAAAAAUUCCACCAUUGCAGGUGACUGAAAGUGAGGAGGGAGAGCUUGUGUGGAAGGACAUGAAAAAUUGCUCUCGGAGCCAACAACUGCUGCUCCCUUCUCCCUGCACCCUCUAGACAGGCGCUGUUCCUGACCCUGUGAAGAGGCAGCGUCAUGCGGGGCGAUGGGAACACAGAGACUGCAGCAUGGACAGACGUUUGUGUUGCAAGCAGACACACACCUCCAGGGUAAAUGUUUAUUCCAGAGGCACCACCAUUCCCACGCCCAGCGAGUGUGCAUUCUUUCUGGAUUCAGAGCCCCACAGUUGUGUUUGUGAGUCAUCAAUGGUGAACGGUGGGGCCUUCUGGGGACAGGGGUGUGAUCCAUGUCUCCGUUUUCAGGUGACAACACCAGUCCCCCACCCACCUCACCCCAAACAAAGAGGCCACUGAUCCGGGCCGCACAGACACCGCAGCCAGCAGCCAUGCGGCCCCGCCUUUUCAUUUAUUAAGCAGAGAUUAAUAAUGGUAUAUUUACGGCCUGUCUGCGGCCGAGCGACACUGCGGCAUUGAUUCAUUUCUGACCCUAGUAUUGCGGGAACAACGACGCCGUUGAGUUCGCUGCUAGAUUUAUCACUUGAGGAGGUGGGAGGAGAAGGGGGUUACUGCAAAUAGAAAACGCACCUCUGGAAGCCCUUAUUUAUGAGCUGCUCAGGAACCGACCCCAAGACAUAGCCACGCAGUUUCCAGUAACUGGGCGCUGUCACUGGCGGGGCCUCCCCAGGUGGUGGCCGUCGGAGGCUGUGGCCGGGAGGUGGCCCCGGUGCCGGCCGGGCCACACGGACAGCGUCUGGGGCAGCCGCGCCCCUCCGUCCCCAGGCCGCAGGCUGGCCACCCUGGCCGGGCGCGCACAAGAUUUACACACCAUCGGCGCCCACAGAGUCGACGGGCCAGCUCAGCUUUUUCAUUAGCGUCCCCACAUGGCACAGCAGAGAGUUCCUACGUCACCUCCAGAAUGUAUUAUGCAAGGGCUAUUUCUGUAUUUCUGUAUCUACUGAGAGGUUAUGUCAGGCAGCCCAUCAACGGAAAAAUGUGAAAGCAGGUUGUGACAGAACGAAUAUUCAGCCCAGCCCAGCACUGGACACAGAUUAGGAGUUCAUAAAAUAUUAAUAUUUGUGGGCCGAUGGAUUUUUGUCAGCUUCUGUGGU
rnacentral:lncRNA from 10 species